rnacentral:rRNA from 1 species
UACAGAGGUCUCGAGCGUUAGGCGGAAUCACUGGGCUUAAAGCGUGUGUAGGCGGAUCGUUAAGUGCCUUGUGAAAUCCCACGGCUCAACCGUGGAACUGCUUGGCAUACUGGCGGUCUUGAGCAACCUAGGGGCGAGCGGAACAAAUGGUGGAGCGGUGAAAUGCGUAGAUAUUGGGAGGAACACCGGUGGCGAAAGCGGCCUUCUGGGCCAUACCUGGACGCUGAGGCACGAAAGCUCGGGGAGCAAACGGGG